CUUUGUGGAAGGGUCCAGUUAGGCUUUAGUAACUGCCCAGGAAACUAUAGAACGCAGAGCGAACAGGGCUAGCCCAAGAGAUUUUGCUAUCAGAAUGGAAGGCCCUGACAGAGAAUGCAAAUUCUGAGAUAUCCCUGAAUUAUUUGCAUUUUCUCUCAUUUUUGUAAAGUAAUUCUUUUUGCAAUAUUUAUCACAUAUUAACAUAGUAUGUACAUAAUAGCCAGAAUCUUGUUUCAUUAUAUAUACUAGUGCAGCUCCCAAUUACAGCAGCACACUUUUGGAGCACUGUGGAUGGAGGCAUAUAGUACCUCUUUACUCGUUGUCCUUUCUCUGGAUGUGCAAAUACAGGGUGGGUGACAUAGUCACCUCUGCACCCCAAAGCUGCCCAUGGGGAAAGUGAAGUAUUAUGUUUGGGAUGCUAAAGAACAACCCCCCUCCCUAUAUCCCACCACACUCAAGCAAUGAAGGUUACUCUCCCAGCUGCUGUUACUGUCCAAGCGAGGAAAUGUGGAAGAAAUGGACAGAAUAAAUGCACAAUGAACACUUAUAUUUUAUUAGUGGUCUGAAUGGAUCUUGGCCAACACCCUGUCUUUCACUUCCCAGGCCGUGAAUCAGGAAAGCUCGCUUAGGCACAGCUCCGAGUGACAAGAUUAAGAACUAAAGUCCCAGAGAAACCAUGCCAGGACAAUCAUCUCUCAAACCGUCUCUUCUGCUUUCCCCCCCUUUGAAAUUUCAAAUUCCAGUUUGUGGACAAAGUCCUGCCUAUCUGAGAAUAUAGAUCUCCGACCACUGACCAAACUCCAUUUCAAGUGACUAACCAGUUCUGCCUUUUCUCAGUCUCUGGCAUUCAGUGCUGAGAGCCACUAGGAAGACCACAAACCAGCCUUCCUGGCCUGAAGAGCUUCACAUCUUUUAAAAACUGGAUUAAAAAACAAUUUUGGGGAUUUCUGAGACAAAGAUUCGGGAAGAGGACCCUUUCUGAUCGCCAAUAACAAACCAGCCACUCACAUGAAAAAGACCAAUUCAAACAACUUGCAGUGGCCCAGGCUUUUGUCCCGUGUUAGCCGCCCCGAGUCCCAGCCAGGAGAUGGAGGCGGGAUAGAAAAAUAAAGUUACUUACUUACUUACUUUUUUCUACACUAGUAUUUAUAUAGACAGAUAAAUGAACCAUUCAAGAUGGAUUAGAAGCUAUGAGUCCUGCUCCCAAGUCCUCCAGCUGUCGUAGAGCUCAGAAUCAAGGUGGCAGGCUCAGAACCAGCUCACUCGAUUGGAUCGGAGUCCAGCGGAGCACAUGUUGUUGCUGCAGCUGCCUCCAUAACUCGGCGGACAGGCUGAGCAAGGCCUCCCCAUUUUGUAAGGGGCUUCUCCUACCCAGUUUCCCCUGGAAAGAAUGAGAGAAGCAAAACAUGAGGUUGCAUUCUGAUGAACAGCAAGAACUUCAGGCUGAAAAGAGUCAAUCCUAUACUGGCUGGGGGCUUCUGUGAGCUUCAAGUUCUUGUCUGGGGCAUAUGAGACAUCUUGCGAGAUCACAUGGAUCAUUAAAGAAGAAAAAUCUUCUAAGAUAUUCCUUGAAGCUGCUCAAGAGAUAUUUCCCAGACUACAUACCUUGAAGGCUGGGCCAAGAACAGCUGAGAAAUGAUGCUGCAGCCACAGUAAACUCACAGAGAUUGACCUUUACAAACAACCUGCGCUCAGGAGCAUGUGGCAGAGAGAUUUAACACCGCCGAGUCCAAGGAAUCUUUGAGGACGAUCUGACGCAAAAACUACAUCAAAACUCUUCCCUUGAGGAAUGUCCCAAAGCCUGAAAUGUGUACAACCGGACAAUUUAUGGCCUUCCCCUUAUGUACACAUGUCUCCAUCUCUACCAAGUAUCUCUGCUUGUUUUCAGCAAUGGAGUAAGGACUGUGAAAAACACCAGAUUAUGACGCUAAAGGUUAUUCACUUGAAGUUAAGAGCUACUUAUACAUACAUUUGCAUACUCUAGAAGAUCUGAUUGAGAAAAUUAUAGCUGUGACACAUGAGAUUUCUACCUUCUUGAUGAUUAAAUUGGGAAGCAGAAGAAACUACAGUUCUCAUAAUCUCUAGCAUGAAAGGGCAUUCCUGAUUCUGAACAUGUUCAGGAACAAUCUCCCUAUAUACAACCUCUUCUACAUAUUUAGGAUGUCCCAUUCACUACUGGUUUCUUCUUCCCUCUACUUUGGAAAGGAGGAAAAGAAGAGCUGAGGAGCUGCAGAGAGAAAUCCUGUGCUUUGACAUCAUAUAAUAAGGCUUUUCAGGGUGGAUGAAUUUGUAUUUCAAAGUACCCUGCUUCCAAAAUCACAAUGUUUUGCUAUUUGUCCUUGAUUCCAAAUUGUGUCUGAAAAGAGGAAAAAUAAAUCACAGCGCUAAUCAGUGA